rnacentral:rRNA from 1 species
GACGAACGCUGGCGGCGUGCUUAACACAUGCAAGCCGAGCGGUAAGGCCCCUUCGGGAGUACACGAGCGGCGAACGGGUGAGUAACACGCGAGCAAUCUGCCCUUCACACGGGGAUAACACUCGUAAACGAGGGCUAAUACACGACAGGACCACUUCAGGCAUCUGAUGGUUGUGUCAAGUUAGGGCGGUGAAGGAUGAGCUGGGGGCCUAUCAGCUUGUUGGGGGGGUAACGGCCGACAAAGGCAACGACGGGUCGCCGGCAUGAGAGGGUGGCCGGCCACACGGGGACUGAGACACGGCCCAGACUCCUACGGGAGGCAGCAGUGGGGAAUAUUGGACAAUGGGCGAAAGCCUGAUCCAGCAACGCCGCGUGAGGGAUGACGGCCUUCGGGUUGUAAACCUCUUUCAGCGGGGACGAAGCGCAAGUGACGGUACCUGCAGAAGAAGCACCGGCCAACUACGUGCCAGCCGCCGCGGUAA